UGGGGGAUAUUGCACAAUGGAGGAAACUCUGAUGCAGCAACGCCGCGUGAAGGAUGAAGGUCUUCGGAUUGUAAACUUUUGUACUUGGGGACGAUAAUGACGGUACCCAAGCAGCAAGCUCCGGCUAACUACGUGCCAGCAGCCGCGGUAAUACGUAGGGAGCAAGCGUUGUCCGGAUUUACUGGGUGUAAAGGGUGCGUAGGCGGCUAUGCAAGUCAGUUGUGAAAACUAU
rnacentral:rRNA from 1 species